rnacentral:rRNA from 1 species
UACGUAGGGUGCAAGCGUUAAUCGGAAUUACUGGGCGUAAAGCGUGCGCAGGCGGUUGUGCAAGACAGAUGUGAAAUCCUCGGGCUCAACCUGGGAAUGGCAUUUGUGACUGCACGGCUAGAGUGUGUCAGAGGGGGGUAGAAUUCCACGUGUAGCAGUGAAAUGCGUAGAUAUGUGGAGGAAUACCGAUGGCGAAGGCAGCCCCCUGGGAUAACACUGACGCUCAUGCACGAAAGCGUGGGGAGCAAACAGG